rnacentral:lncRNA from 1 species
GAUUUACUUUUCAUUUAGUUAGAUUCAUUUGAUCUUCUAAUAUCUAAUUAACCUAAUUUAAAAUUUUACUUUUUAUUUUUUCUUGCUAAAAGAUAACAUAAUAUAAAAGGAAUACAAUGAUAAUACAUAACACUUGACUAAUAUAAAUAAAUCAAUUAAAUUUUAAAAUUCACUUAACAUGUUUGGAUAUCUUUUCCUUUUGCAGUGCAUAUUUUCAUAAAAAAAAAAUCUUAAGGGCAAAACCCUAAUCAACAUAAGGUGGAGAUUUCAUCACCCUUAUUUGGCCCACAAAUCACCACCUUGCAAUUAUAUUGACCUAAACUUCUAAUUUAAAAUCGAUUAGACGUUGACCCUUAAGGAUCCUCGAGCUCAGUAGGACAAGGAAUCCUAAAAGUUAGACCGAGUUCAGGUUAGUCAGUUUAACUGAUGUCUAAGAAAGUGGUUCAAAGAUUACAUUCUGAAAGAAGGUAGUUCAUUAAUUGGUUCCAUUCGCUAACCUGGCCAACACAGUUGGUGUCUAAGGAAAGCAACAUGGGAACCCCCACCAACCUUAUACUUAUCUGGCCAGUUGAGCGGCUAGUCUGCUACUUGGAGUGCUUGAAGGUGACCUUGGCAGUUAGGAGCUGUCUAGAUCUAGGAUAACCCAUAGAUAGGAUUGAUUGAAUCACUUGAUUGUUGACUAAAAAUAUCAAAUCUAAUUAAUUCUUCUCUAUCUUUUUAGCAUUAGAACUCCUUAGGUUUUCUUCUUUAGAAUUCUUUUUCCUCCUCCUACUCUCCUCUUCUCUUUCAAAAAAAAAAAA